UACAUGUGGGGCAAGCGUUGUUCGGAAUUACUGGGCGUAAAGCGCGUGUAGGCGGCGGCGUAAGUCGGGUGUGAAAUCCCUCAGCUCAACUGAGGAAGUGCACUCGAUACUGUGUCGCUUGAAUGUCGGAGGGGAUGGCGGAAUUCCCGGUGUAGAGGUGAAAUUCGUAGAUAUCGGAAGAACACCAGUGGCGAAGGCGGCUCACUGGGACGAUGUUGACGCUGAGGUGCGAAAGCGUGGGGGAGCAAACAGG
rnacentral:rRNA from 1 species